rnacentral:rRNA from 1 species
UACGGAGGAUGCGAGCGUUAUCCGGAUUUAUUGGGUUUAAAGGGUGCGUAGGCGGCCUGCCAAGUCAGCGGUAAAAUUGCGGGGCUCAACCCCGUACAGCCGUUGAAACUGCCGGGCUCGAGUGGGCGAGAAGUAUGCGGAAUGCGUGGUGUAGCGGUGAAAUGCAUAGAUAUCACGCAGAACCCCGAUUGCGAAGGCAGCAUACCGGCGCCCUACUGACGCUGAGGCACGAAAGCGUGGGGAGCAAAUAGG